rnacentral:rRNA from 1 species
GGACGAACGCUGGCGGCGUGCUUAACACAUGCAAGUCGAACGGAAAGGCCCUGCUUUUGUGGGGUGCUCGAGUGGCGAACGGGUGAGUAACACGUGAGUAACCUGCCCUUGACUUUGGGAUAACUUCAGGAAACUGGGGCUAAUACCGGAUAGGAGCUCCUGCUGCAUGGUGGGGGUUGGAAAGUUUCGGCGGUUGGGGAUGGACUCGCGGCUUAUCAGCUUGUUGGUGGGGUAGUGGCUUACCAAGGCUUUGACGGGUAGCCGGCCUGAGAGGGUGACCGGCCACAUUGGGACUGAGAUACGGCCCAGACUCCUACGGGAGGCAGCAGUGGGGAAUAUUGCACAAUGGGCGGAAGCCUGAUGCAGCAACGCCGCGUGCGGGAUGACGGCCUUCGGGUUGUGAACCGCUUUCGCCUGUGACGAAGCGUGAGUGACGGUAAUGGGUAAAGAAGCACCGGCUAACUACGUG